rnacentral:rRNA from 1 species
GGGCCCGCACAAGCGGUGGAGCAUGUGGUUUAAUUCGAUGAUACGCGAGGAACCUUACCAGGGCUUAAAUGGAAAAUGACAGGGGCAGAGACGCCCCCUUCUUCGGACAUUUUUCAAGGUGCUGCAUGGUUGUCGUCAGCUCGUGCCGUGAGGUGUCAGGUUAAGUCCUAUAACGAGCGCAACCCCUACCGUUAGUUGCCAGCGAGUAAUGUCGGGGACUCUAACGGAACUGCCGGUGCAAACCGUGAGGAAGGUGGGGACGACGUCAAAUCAUCACGGCCCUUACGUCCUGGGCCACACACGUGCUACAAUGGCGCGUACAGAGGGUUGCCAACCCGCGAGGGGGAGCUAAUCUCAGAAAGCGCGUCGUAGUCCGGAUCGGAGUCUGCAACUCGACUCCGUG